GAUGAACGCUAGCUACAGGCUUAACACAUGCAAGUCGCGGGGCAGCAUUCCUAGCUUGCUAAGGAAGAUGGCGACCGGCGCACGGGUGAGUAACGCGUAUCCAACCUUCCCAUGGUCCACGGGAUAGCCCGUCGAAAGGCGGAUUAAUACCGUAUGAGGUCACAUGCGGGCAUCUAAGUGUGACGAAAGGUUUAGCGGACAUGGAUGGGGAUGCGUCCGAUUAGCUUGUUGGCGGGGUAACGGCCCACCAAGGCGACGAUCGGUAGGGGUUCUGAGAGGAAGGUCCCCCACAUUGGAACUGAGACACGGUCCAAACUCCUACGGGAGGCAGCAGUGAGGAAUAUUGGUCAAUGGACGCAAGUCUGAACCAGCCAAGUAGCGUGCAGGAUGACGGCCCUAUGGGUUGUAAACUGCUUUUAUGCGGGGAUAAAGUGUGGGACGUGUCCCAUAUUGUAGGUACCGCAUGAAUAAGGACCGGCUAAUUCCGUG
rnacentral:rRNA from 1 species